rnacentral:misc_RNA from 1 species
CCGCUGUUUCUGAAUGCAAAGAAGUGUACUCCACUUUUUCCAUUCAAAACAUCCAUUAAUGUAUUUUUUCCACUCACAACUUCUACUACGAUGAAUAUAAUUUGCGUUGUUGUGUUAGCGUGACGAUGUGUUUUGAGUUAGCUUGAUUGCGUGUUUUAAAUAACGCGCUAGCGCGUUGUCACUUCGUACUAGUGCGUUGUUCCUAACGUCGCGCUAGCUCAUUGUUAUAAAGGCGCUAGCGCGUUGUUUCUAACGCAGUUACAACUUAGCAACUGGCCCUAUCGGGACACCACACAAUGGACCCUGUUUUUCUCUCAUUACACACGGACCUUUAUUUGUUGUCUGUUUUAGUUGCUGAGCAGCUGACGCUGUUUUUCUCUAACUACACCAGGGGACUGACCCAGGAGUCGGUGUUUAACUUCGACAGGUCGACCUGUGGUCCAUUACCCAGUGCACCAACCGCAUAAUAAACCUUGUCUUAGUCUGACUCAGUGUCAUAAUAAACCUUGUCUUAGUCUG